ACUGAAAAUUCUUAAAUAUAUAAAAUUUAUGAUCCACAAUCAAGACUAAAAGUAAAAAUAAUUCAUGAAUAACAUAACACUGCUCUAUUCAUGAACAAUCAAUAUGGUUCAACAAUUUCUGCACUACUUUUGUCUCUUUGAAUUUUUCACUGCUCUUGGAGCUGUAAUCAAUACAAACCACAACAGAAUCUUUAAGCAAUCUUGAACCUUAAUCUAGUAAUCCAACAUGUUUAGUGUAAGAUGUACCUAGUCCAAUUUCCUCAGACCUUUUCAUGAUCCUCAGACUCCUGCAUGAGACAUC
rnacentral:lncRNA from 1 species